ACUCCUACGGGAGGCAGCAGUGGGGAAUUUUGGACAAUGGGCGCAAGCCUGAUCCAGCCAUCCCGCGUGAGUGAAGAAGGCCUUCGGGUUGUAAAGCUCUUUCGCAAGGGAAGAAACGAUGCAGUCGAAUAAACUGCGUUAAUGACGGUACCUUGAUAAGAAGCACCGGCUAACUA
rnacentral:rRNA from 1 species